GCUGGGUACAGUGGUGCACACCUGUAAUCCCAGCAGCCCAGGAGGCUGAGGCAGGAGGAUCAUGAGUUCAAAGCCAGCUUCAGAAACUUAACAAGACUCUAAGCAACUCAGUGAGACCCUGCUUCUA
rnacentral:sRNA from 1 species